rnacentral:tmRNA from 1 species
GGGGCUGACAUGGAUUUGACAGCAGGAUGAGGUGGUAUGUAAGCACGCAGUGAGCCGCUGGUCACUCACUAUAAUCCCUGGCUUCCGACAAUUUAUCUGGCGAAAAUACUUACGCUUUCGCUGCCUAAUCGAAGUACAGUAGAUAUGGCUUAAUCCCGGCACCAGGUGCUGAGACGAAAUGUCGCCCAAGAGCUCUUGCUCCGAAGCUCCUUGAACCGGCGGCACAGCAGAAUCGGGGAUAGCCUACAUCGGCCUCGCGGUGUAUGGCGAAGUUUUAGAGGAUAAGGCAUGGGUUGGUGGUCCGGGUCUUGCUCAUGCACGAAAACCGAAGUCCGGAAUAAGCGUGUAGAAAGCAUAUUGCGUCCCUGUUUGGACGAGGGUUCAAUUCCCUCCAGCUCCACU